CAGGCCCGGGGAGCCGCUGGAGGCUGUAGCAGGGGAGUGCUGUCUGUUUUACGGGACCGCUGUGAGCACAGCUGAGAAGGAGCGAAGCGAGAAGGCGGCUGCGGGGGAGUAUGUCCCUGGUCUUCCUCCCAGCCCUCCCAGGACCAAGGCCUCCUUUGGAGGGUAAUGUGAUUACUGAGAGUUCUGGAUCGCCAGGCUGUUCAAGUCAGACCCAGAUUCUCAAGGUGUUUGUGAACCAGGAGUGUACAGAAACUGUCCCUCUGACCUCAUGUUGCGGGAGACGCACCGGCGCAGUGAAUUCCCGCCAUUUUCCUCCUGGAGUUUGUCCUCUCGUGCUCUUCGUCAUUGGAAAUCAUCACUGUUUAGCUUGUAGAGUAUUUUUACUACAUGCAUUUGAAGUGAAAGGGGGAUAGUAAUACUGAAUUCAUACUCAUGAAGAUAAAACCAUGCGUGUAAAUCAUUGGGCAGACACAGUCUGGCAAACACAAGAAAUACUGUAAAACUAAUAUAACUUGGUUGUGCAUUUUAAUUAUUGCCUUAACCAUUUAUUAAACAACUUCCGUGC